CUUUUUUUCAAGACAAGGUCUUUUUCUAUGUCACCCAGGCUGGAGUGCACUUGUGUGAUCAUAGUUCACUGCAGCCUUGAGCUCCUGGGCUCAAGUGAACCUCCUGCCUCGGCCUCCCAAAGUGCUGGGAUUACAGGCGUGAGUCUCUGUACCUGGCCUAGAAGAAAUGUUUUUACGGACUACAGCUUCCAAAGGACAGGUGGGGAUAUAUAUAUAUAUAUAUAUAUGUAAUUUUUAGUGUUGUUGUUUUUAUCUUAUAACCCGCAGGCAUCCAUGGCCUGGGAAAACAUGGGUUUCACUUUACAAGACUGAGGAAGAGAGAAUUUUAAAGAAAGAAAGCCUAUGUUUGGAAGAUCAAGAUGGGAAUGUAGGAAGACCUGGUUAAAACCUUUGCAGGAAUGGGAACUUGUACCAAAUGAGGCAGAAGACUCGAGGCUCUAGAGAAAUCUUGUGAUGAAAUUGAAACUUGUGAUAGAUAAAGCUGCAGAAUUGUGCUACUACUUUGAUACAUAUACAAAGUCUUUAAAACAGCUUUAGCGUCCAAGAAAUAAGAAAAGGAAUGUAUUUUGUUGUUUGUUCCACCUUUCGUGCCCCUCAGGUAACCAGGGUCUUUCUACAACUUUCAGUUUGCCAGAAUUAACCAGUGGAAUUAACCAUCCAGCCCUCCUGGUUACUCAAGCUCUCAACUUUCCCAUCCAUCCACUCUCCUCUGAAAUAUGAUCCACAGCAGGCACAUUAGUUAACUUUCAGUUUGGAAAUGAUCUAUAGACUUAUUCCAUUAUAAUGAGAAUGAUGAGUAAGAUUGUUCUAAACUGGUACUGAAUUUAAAGGGAAGAAAAUAAAUUAUUCGAAGAAAGGAAAACUUAAUGGUAUUAUAUUCUGAAAUGGGGAGUGAGGAGGUUGAGAGAUAUUUAUAGUGUUGCAUGGACCUUACAUAUGGCACUUAAAUCACAAGUAAGCCUUGCUCAUUCUCCAAUGUGUGAGAAUGAUUCUUAAUUCUUUGUUUAUUUAAGUACUGCACAUUAAGCAGGACUAUUUCCCAUUAGCCAGACCAUGCAUUAUGGGUGGUGAAGCUAUAGCCAUACCACCCUAAAGAACAAAAUUCAAGAAUAAAGUUUUCAUGCACUCUAAGCGUAUUUUCUGGAUAAUUAGAAAAUGUUCCACUGCUUCAAAGACCUCCUAUAUAAUACACAGUUAAGUGAUUAUCUUGGAGCUUAUUUUGGAGUAUUAUUACCUUUGAGAAAGCAUUGUUAUUGGGCACUUUUUUCUAGCAGACAUUAAUGCGUAUAAUUAAAAACAUACAAUUUACAAUUCAACCUCUCUGCAGGACAUCUAUGAAACCAUUUAUGGGUUGUUUUUCCUUGUCCUUCUAGGUGUUGCUAACUGUGUGUUCAUAGUAAUGAGAAGAAAGUUAUUUUUAGGUUGGCAUAAGUGUUUUGGUUGCUCUAAACUAAAAAGCCUUAUUUAGAAUUUGUAUACACUACUACGGUACAUUGUGUUUUAUACAAAGCUAAUUGCUUUCCUAAGUUUUGCCAUUAUCCAUUUUUUUUUCUAAUAAGCCUUUUCCCACUAAAGAAAUGAAAAUGGAGUAGAUUUAUAUUGCUGGUUGGAAAAAAAACAAAAUGUUCAAAGAAAAGCAAUGUAUUAAAAACAUUU
rnacentral:lncRNA from 1 species